UUGGCUAAAUCUCUGAAAGAACGAUGUGGAAGUGAACUUACGAGGUGCAUGUGUCCAAUAAUAGGCAAUUUCUUGGGACCUGGUGGCAAUUUUUUACCAUCUUUGGAUUUCUUCCAUUUGGUGAGAAACAGGAAGACCAAGGGUAGAAAGAGAGCAAAAGUUGUAAAGCUAAAGGGAAAGUAGAGAUCCAUUAGGGCAAAAAAGAGAGAAGGUUUUCAAGGCUCAAUGCUUUGAAACACAUAAAUACACGAAUAUAUAUGACCAUUAGACGCAAAGAUAUACACAUCGAGUUUUAUUUUAUUUUAUUUUGAAAUGGCAUAUACAUUGAUUUUGUUAGUGAACCUAUGGCAAUGUCAAAUGACACGAUUUCUUCUAGAUUGUUUAAUUAUUGAUCUCUAAAAAGCUAUUUCUUGAUGUUUUGUGCUAUACUUCAAAAAAUCAAUCUAAAAAUAUGGACCACUUAAUAUGCAAGAGAAAAAAAUAUCAUAUAAACUUGGAACAGAAAGUCUAACAAUGACGAAAAGUCCGUCACAUCACAAAUUAGGUAAGGCUUGAAUAUGUGUGCAUUUAGAUAGGAAGACUAUUUCUUCGGUAAUACUGAAGAAACAUUUUAAGAUGCUUAUGUCAAAUUGAGUAGAUAUGAUUAAAGUAAAUAUAAUUAAAAUAUUUAAGUUUUAGACGGAUAGGUUUAAGUGGAUUAAGGUGUAUUAUUACCAUUAUGUGUUUGGUGCAUCUUGUUAUUCUCUCAUGGAAUGUUUGGGACGCUAUACGAUUAAGGGUUAUUUUUAUUGAAUUUGACUUAGACAUCGUAGAUUACUCGGACUAAUUUAGUUUGGAGUAUUAUUUAGUAUUUAUACUGAACUAAUAUUACAUUAAAAAUAAUUUUUAUCCUUAUUACCAAGGACAACCAAAAGUUAAGGAAUACUCCCUCGUGAAAUUUUAACACGCAAACACAAAUCUUGGAAAUAAAGUAUUAUUUUAACGUUAAUCAUGCUACCUUCAUCUUGCCACUUUAGUUAUUUAUUUUUAUUUUUUGACAAGAAAUGUAGAGCCUCAUUCGAUGUUUUGUGGCUAAAUAAUGCAUUUUGGAGGAACACUUCCAACGUUUGGCUAAAUAAUGCAUUGGAGGAAAACUGAGAACUUUUUGUGGCUAAGAAAUGCUUGGCCGCGCGGUAGGGUUGUUUCAAGGAAGAAAUCCUAUCCAUAAAUUAAAGUUUCACAUUAGAAUAUGUCAAGUGACAUAACAUUAACUUCUAGGAAUAAUUUUACAGAAAACCAGAUAAGAAUGAGUUAGCAGCAUAUUUGGAGUUGAUUUUAAUUCAUAAAAUUCUCAAGUUACAGUAUUGGAGUCAUUGACAUGCUGCUUAUUUUAAACAUCUAAAAUUUAACUUUUGAAAAAAUACAUAAAACCCUACUCCCUUAUUCGGACUUCUAUUCUUAUGUAACUAUAGUGUAAAGAAGUUGGAGAUACGAGUAUCACAAAUAGAAAGUUGGGCACAUAACUGUCACACUUGUCAAAAGUUGGGAACUCGUAUAUGCAUAUUAAUUUAUCACUUAGUUAAAAAAAAUAUCUUAAUUAUAUAUAUGCUAGGCAGGCAAUGUUGAGGAAAGUUAAUUGAAAAACAAAGUAAUGAUCGAUCCCAUCCUUUUACAACUUUUUGGACAUCUAAAGAAAUAAUAUGGAAAUUGUUUCAAUGCACUGGUUUCAUUAUUCAUCGAAGAAAUAAAUAUUUGUUUUCAUAAUCUAAUGUACUAAUUACUGAUCAAUAAAUUUAGGAACGAAAAUUAAUAUGUUAAUGAAAAGCUUUGAGUUCCAUAAAUUAGUUUUUCACCAUACUCAUCAACCUAAUGUCGUUUUACCUUUAACAAGUAAGAAAGAUUAAUUUUCUUACUCAUUUCAUCUCUCACCUAUUCUUACUUUCAAUCACUUUUCCUUCCUAUGUGCAUUAAUGAAACCUUCAAUGGGGUAGAUAAAUUGUACUAGGUUUAGUAGAAGGAUGAUGCUACACAAACAAGGCGCCAUGUGACACGGCCGAGGUGGUCAGCCCUUGAUCUGAAAAUUUAAAUUUCAGAUCACCCCCAUCACGGGACCUGUCAAAGGCCCCUAUUCGAGUAGCAAAAUUCUUAGUAGAAGGAGAAAAGAAAAUGUCUUAACAAGGCUUAAGUUUAAGAGUGCGAGCUCGAUUCAACAUGAAAGUCUAAGUCACAAAAUUUAGGUCUUAAAGAGAAGGCAAACUUGAUAUACCAUGGAAGGACCCACAUGAGGUAAAGUCUAUAAACCCCAAUUAUUUGUGCUACCUUACGUAGAUGAAAAUUGCUUGGAAAUUUUUGAUCGUCGCCAGAGUUCAUUAAAAGAAAGAAAAAGCAAAAACCUUCUAAACUGGCUUGCAUAUACAUUGACUUUGUUAGUAAAAUAACUAUUUUUUUCCCGUAUGACAUAGGAUACGAAAUGUCAAUGAUAUUAUUUCUUCUCGAUUGGUCCUUGUUUAAAUAUUUCAAAAAGGUAAUACUUGACGUUUUGUGCUAUAAUUGGAAAAAUCAAUCCCAAAUAAGAAAAAUAUGGACCACUCAAUAUGCAUGAGAAAAAUAUCUUAUAGAACUUAGAACAUAAAGUCUAAUUUCGGAACCGACUAUUUUUAGUAUACAGGACAUCACAAUCAAUUGUGUCGGUCUUGAAUAUAUGUGUCGUUAUAUAGAUAUGAAGACACUUCUGUCUUGAAAUUUUAAGAUGCGUGUGGUAUACAAUAUAAAAUUAAGUAGAUAUGAUUAAAGCAUGUAAAAUUAAGGUACGUUUGGUACACAAUAUAAAAUUAAGUAGAUAUGAUUCAAGCAAAUAAAAUUAAGGUGGAUAGGAUUAACUAUACUAAAGUGUAUUUUAACUAUUGACCUCAGUUUUUGAUUGGAUAGCACGCCAAUAAAUUUCGGCUCCACUUGUUCAAGUGUAAGGGGUUCAGUACACUUAGACAAACCAUUGACGUAGCUGGUCUUCUUCGAAGGAUGGAGAUGUGACCAUGAGCACUCCAACAAUCAAGUUAAUCAAUUAUAGAUGUGUAUUCUAGGUAUAGGGCAAACAAAUGGCAUGGGCCACAAUGAUGUUUAUGAUAUCGAGCUCAAAAGAGGAUACCAAGAUAAGUUAUUGUUGAGAGUGUAAAAUAACAAUAUUGUUGGAUUUUAUAACCCAAAUUAAGUUGGAUUCUUUUUGGGAAUGAUUGGAGUCAUAUACAUAUAUAAUGAAAUCACCAAAGAUAAUCUCCAUGAUAAAAUAGUGAUGAUUCGUUAUCACUGGAAUGCACAUAUGCCCACAACCAUUCCAUGACUUUUUCUCGACACUUGAUCACAUCCCUAUGAUCUACUCUAGCAUAUAUUUGGGCACUGUGUACUUAUGACUGAUAUUCAAUGAUAAUGGCAUUAGGAACUAGGUGCUCAAUAUGACUCGAUCAUAAAUGUCAAAUAGUCUUGGAUAUUUUUGAGCCUGAUCGCAUAAUAAGUCUAUAGUCAGGUUGACGUGCUACGUCUGAAAAUACCAAUAAAAAAAAGAUGGAGUUAUUUCAUUUAAAAAAUAAAUAAUUGUGUAUAUAUAAUAAAUAACAAUAUGGUUAUUUUACUUACAUCAUCGACAAGGCAAGCUCUUAAAGUUGUGAUGUCAUGAAAGCACUUUUAAGUGUCCUAGAUCAUUGUUUGAGCUAUCGUGGGGCUAGCUCUAAAAAAAAAAAAAGCAGAAAAAUGUUAGAAGAAGUAUAUAUGAAUUAGCACAACGUACUUUACUAGAAUUAUAAAAUACUUACCAGGGCAUAGUUUUUCUCCACUCCGUCUAGAAUGCGUUCUACUUGACAUGGUCUAUCUCAUGAAAAAGAUACAGUAUGUCCCACCGAUGAACGUCCUCCUUUUUGCCUCAUUCGUGAAGAGAGAAUCGAUGUACUGCGAUGACAAUUUCAGUCUCUUGCCCACCACUUGCUCCGACACAUCAACAACACGCUUCUUAUCCCUUGUCAUGUCCGGUGUCCUCUCCUUAUUUGCCACCCCUCCGUCCAAGGAUUUCCUGUCCCUCCUCUACCUCGAGGUCACCACCUUCUCUUUCAUUGGGGCCACCUCCUCCAUCUCAGGCACAUCAUCCGCCCCUACAACCAUCAUCACCUUUAUUAUCUCGGCCACCUUCUUUUUCCUAUUUUCUUCCACCACUUCUCCCGUCCCCAUAGGGGCCACCCCUUCCCACUUCAUAGAUACCAAAAAUGAUUCAACGGAUGAUCAUUUAUCUACAACUAUGGGUGAAGGAUGUGAUCCCCUCGACGGAAGUGAUAUUCAGGGCAAAGGUGAUCGACGAUUAACUAGGCUGUACUCCUAUAAAAAUAACAACAUUAAAAAUUAUCAACUUAAUUAAAAUAGGAUAACUCAUACAAAAUGAUAAUCAAUAAAUUAUAUUCAAUUCACAUACCCAAUCUUAGUCCAGAACGGAAUCGAACAUCUGAUUGUUUUGAGUAUACGAAAAUGCUAAUUCACGCACAAAACCUCGACCCUCCUCCUUCGUCUACGACGUCAACUUAGUUAGGACUUCAAGCUGACAUAUUGAUAUUUUCAACUAGUUAAUGAUCAUGCGUUGAGAUUUUAAAACAACAUGCAAUAUAAUUCACAAAUGUAUGGUACUCACUUGAGAAUCAUUGAGGAGAGCUAAUAACUGUUUGUUAGAUGGACAAAUGUCUGCUCAGAAUGCUCAUCAAUGAUGCAUUCGAGGGCCGCGUGUCUCCUCUCGUCUGACAAAUCGAGUACCCAAGAGAAUGGACAGUCUUAUAUGUCUAGAUCCACAACACAUGAUUAUUCUAUAUAAAUUUAGUAUAAAAAAUAUUUUAAUGUUGAUCAUGUUAAACAUUUACGUACAUUGUCAGGGGCAAUGCAUAACUAAUGUACUUACGUAAGGACUCUAUGGGCUUUGAAUGCGAUCUAGUGAAGACGUAUAUGGUGUCCUCAAAAUAUCUCCGACCACAUGGAUAGUUGUUGAAGGCAUCGAUGUCAUCAACAAUUUCAAAAUGAAAAAGGUCUAUCGUAGUCUUUUUUGUUUUACCAUGCUCUCAAGAAUAUAGAACAGUCUUAGCUUCAAUUUCUCCAACAUCUGGUUGCACUACCUGAUUGCACUAGCCAACUACGUUAGAAGAACCAUCCCUAUCCUUGAAAAUACGCGUCGUACAGCCUAUUACAUCUUUGAGUACGAUCGCGAGCUGCUUUCUCGUGGAUAAUCGUCAAUCUAGUCAUUACGAUAAAUUCAAAUACAGAGGAACUAGUGACCAUGCCCCCUAGGUGGAAGUAGAAGGCAUCGUCGUUUGCUAGCCUAAGUAGCCGACAUAAUAGUACAUCAAUGAUUUGUCCAGAGUAGUGCACCUCUUUUAACUGAUAUAGAGAUCACAGAAUUUAAAUGUUAGAGCAUUCAACAAAAGAUAAUGGAAUAAAGUAUAAUUUCAAAAAAUUAAGUGAAUCGAAUUGAAAAUAAAAGGAAAAAUAAAUUAAAAAAUUAAAAAAAUUGAAAAUUGAAAAAAAAUUGAAGAGUGUUUAAAAAGUAUAUUCAAUUAAAAGAAUUUUAAAUUUAAAAAUAAAAGAAAAGUAGAAUUUGGUAAUGUGGUUAAAAAGAAUAUAUAAUUUAGUAAUCUUCAAUUUAAAAUUUUUUAUUUCAUUUAAAAAAUGGAUUAAAAUUCUUAAAUUAAAAAAAUUAAACAAAAGGAAAUUAUAAAAAUUCAAUAAAGCUUAUAAAUAUUAUUUAUAAUUAAAUUGAAAAAAAAUUAAAGAUCUGUUUAAAAAAAUGUUUAAUUAAAAAAUUUUGAAUUGAAAAAAAUAAAAGGAAUUUUUUUUGAUAAUUAGGUUAAAGAAAUAAUUAAUUUGAUAAUUUUCAAUUUAAAAUUAUUUAUUUAAUUUUAAAAAAUUAAAAUUUCUUAAUAUAAAAAUUUAAAAAAUAUAUCUAGAUCGAUUGGUUUGAUAACUAUUAAUAGUCGGACGAUUGUUAACAAUCAACGAUGCCUUUUUCUCGUCGUAAAAUCGCCAUUUUUGAAGGGAAGUUGCUAUUUUUUUUUUUUUUUGGCAAAUUUAAGACUUCACACUCAUUACUACACUUAAUAAUCUACCUAAAUAAUGAAGAAUAAACAUUAUAAAUUCGCAAAUAAACAUCCAUAAAAUCCACAAAAUUUUGAAACAUUGUGAAUGAAAAAUCAAUCUCAUAAUCCACAAGAAAACUAACCUAGUUGAAGAUAAUGCCGUUGGCGAUUGGGUUGUGUGGUAGUCGGUUUAUGAGGAUGGCAACUUCGAUUGUAUCCCGACUGUUAGAGAUUGUGUGAGUUUUUUCUUUCUUUUUUCCUCUCAAUUUGUUUUUACAAAGGAUGAUUAGGGCAUAAAAGGCUUUUGGUAAAUAACUUUACAAUUUAAAUAAUUAACUAUUUUUAAUGAUUAAAUGCCAUUAUAGAAAUAUGGCCAGGUCAACCGACCAUUUCCAUGUAUUUACUCAUUUUGAGGACCCAUCAUAGUAAAUUGUGGAGAGGUAAUUAGUACCUAUAUCGUACAACAAAAAAAAAAAAAAAUCAUCAAAUGAGAAAUAUCAUGCUCAUGAUCAAAAGCUAACUGUAAUGGAGAGAAUUUUGUUAAGUUUGUUGGCCUAAUGAGCACAAGUGAUGCUGUAUUGCUGUUUGUAGAAUAGCAUGAUUCCGAACAGAAACAUGAAGUUUUGUUCUCAUAAUUAAUGGUCUAACAAUUAAUUGAGGAUGUUUAAUGAAUAAAUCCACCAUACCAUUUUGUUUAUGAACUUGGUGAACGUGAUGAUCUACUUUUCUCCCAAUUGAUAUAAUAUUCAUUAAAAUUUUGGGAUGUAAAUUCAUUAGCAUUAUCAAGAUAAAAUGUCUCCAAUCAAGAAAUUGUGCUCUGAAUCAAAUAGCUUGUGUAAGUGAUCUUCUAAACACCAUGUUGAAAUUUUGUAAUAAACGUACAUGUGACCAUUUUGGAUAUGCAUAUUUUAAAAUCAUAAAAAUAUCUACAUGGAUGGUGCAUGAGUACUCUAAAUACGAUUCAGUCCCAACUUAGCUAGUGAUGGUUUAAUGACCAAUCUGCCCUGAGAAUAAGCAUCGCAUGAGAAUUCACUAGAUCAAAAAAUCUAUUGGUUCUUCUACUAAUGUCUAAUUCAAUUUUUGCUUCAUUAUUGAUCUGAGAUAGCCUAAUCGUUCACGUCACACUGUAAAAUUCUUCGAAUAAUUGAACUUAUAAUGCAAUAUAGCGUGCAUUUCAAUUGUACUAAUAUUUAUAGCUUAUAAAUUAAAAGAAAAUAUUUGUAACCUUUUAAAUACACGUUUUUCACAUGCGACAUUAGAAGUAAUAUGUAGAUAUUUUAUAUUACUCUCAUCGACAAUCUCAACACUGUAGAGGGCUAUCCUAUAUUUAAAAUUUUUGUCAUAGUGUACCUGUUCAACACGUUGUCCAUUAAGGUCUCCUCUAUCAAACUUUCUCAUAUCGAUACAGCAUAUGUAUAUGGGUUCCCGUUCAUAUAAUAAUCCGUUGCAUCAGUUAGCUUUUCUUGAUAUUCCAACUCAAUCGAAGUUAUCUGGGAAAAAACUGUCUACUGAUUGACCAUGCAGUUUGUAAAGUAUGUUUUUAGUCAAUUGCUUACCGUAGCUUGCUGAACAAAGUUGUUCACCAUGGCUUUCUGUGUCAACAAUAAUUUUUUCAUUUUUACAUAAGAUCGGAAAACAAUUUAUUCAACGUCGUCUCCCAAAUAGUUGGGACACUUCUAUAUAUAUAUAUAUAUAUAUUAAAGAAACAAAAGCAUGUUUUAUUUAUGAGAUGCAUCACAACAAACACUAACAAGAUUCACAGCAGAUGAUCUUCCUAGGAUAAGUCGUUGGUGAAAGGAUCAGCAAAUAAGUAGAGGUCUUCUUUUCUUGAUGCAGUCAUUCCACUGUUCUCGAUCAUGUUUAAAUUAUCUGGACUGAUUCCUUCCGGGAGUUUCCAGUCGAAGUUAUAGAGAAGUUGAGCUAAUGGAAGCUCAACGCCAGUUAAACCAAAUGUCAAUCCAGGACAUAUUCUUCUUCCUGACCCGAACGGAAGAUAUUCGAAGUUAUUUCCUGUCAAAUCAAUAGGGUUGUUCUCAAAUCUCUCUGGUUGGAAACUUUCUGGGUUAGUCCAAUACUUGGGAUCUCUUCCGAUUUCCCACGUAUUUACGAACACUUUUGCAUUGGCAGGUAUAAAAUAUCCAUUGACUUCACAAUCUUCUCUGCUAGCUCUUGGAAUAAGAGGAAGAGGAGAAUGAAGUCUAAGAGUUUCUUUUAUCACCAACUUUAGGUACUUCAAGUUUUGAGUAUCAGUGGUUUUUUGUCUAUUGAAGGUUUCUCGAACUUCAGCUUGUGCUUUCGCCAUUACACGAGGAUUCCUCAUGAGUUCUGCCAUUGUCCAAUUGAUUGUCGAUGAUGAUGAUUCUGUACCAGCAGAGAACAUUUCCUACAAAACAAAAUCACAAAUCUUUAAUGAAAAUGUCGCAAAUGAAAGAAAAUAAAACCUUAAGAAAUUGCCAAAUGUCAAAUUUAAAUAAAUAAAUAUAUCAGCAGUCUCCGUUUAAGCUUUUGCAUGAGAUCGAUAGUUCAGCAUACAUAUACUUACAGAAAUAACAGCUUUGAUUUUGUCAUUGUCAAUUGGAAACUGGAGUUCACCACUCUCUUUUAUUCGUAGGAAGACAUCAACUAAAUCUUCAUUGCCAAACUCUCCAUUUCCCUUUCUUUUUGAGUCUCCAGUUUGAUCUAGCUCUCCAUUUCCAUUACUCAUUUUUACCAAAUUUUCUCUGUGUUCACCAAUUAUACCAUCAAGAAUCUCAUCAAGCUUGCGACGCAUUGCCAACAACUUUAGCUUAUUCCAACUAAGGGUUUUAAGCAUCUUCAAUGAAGGAAACAGAUCGGCAAGAUCAAAGCCUCCCGACAAGGCUAAAGCUUUCCUCAUUAUUUUUAUCAGCGUUUCUUUAUCCUUGCAUACCUUACCAAACGCCGCUCUGCAAGUCGUGGCACUCAUUGUCGAGAUAAUCUUUUCUGUGAGAUUUAUUGGUUUUCCAGCAGAAGAUCUAAUAGAUUUGACGAGAUUAAGAACCUCAUCAUUCCUAAUGGAUCCAAACGAUUUCACCUGCUUGGCACUUAAGAGUUCUAAAAUGCAUAUUCUUCGCAUUUGUCUCCAGUAAUCAUCUUAUGGACUAAAUGAAAUGGCGGCAUGGUUAUAGGAAAUAAUUUCAAGAGCUAGAGUUCCUGGCCUAGCUGCAAAAGUAGGAUCUUGAGUUUUCAAUACCUCUUUGGCGAUUUUGGGUGAAGAUACGACAAUGGUUGAAGUUUCACCGAGCUUCAAGUGCAUUAAUGGUCCAUAUAUUUUGGCUAAAUCUCUGAAAGAACGAUGUGGAAGUGAACUUACGAGGUGCAUGUGUCCAAUAAUAGGCAAUUUCUUGGGACCUGGUGGCAGUUUUUUACCAUCUUUGGACUUCUUCCAUUUGGUGAGAAACAGGAAGACCAAAGGUAGAAAGAGAGCAAAAGUUGUAAAGCUAAAGGGAAAGUAGAGAUCCAUUAGGGCAAAAAAGAGAGAAGGG
rnacentral:lncRNA from 1 species